rnacentral:rRNA from 1 species
GCCGUCAAUUCCUUUGAGUUUUAACCUUGCGGCCGUACUCCCCCAGGCGGUCGACUUAUCGCGUUAGCUGCGCCACUAAGAUCUCAAAGGAUCCCAACGGCUAGUCGACAUCGUUUACGGCGUGGACUACCAGGGUAUCUAAUCCUGUUUGCUCCCCACGCUUUCGCACCUCAGUGUCAGUAUCAGUCCAGGUGGUCGCCUUCGCCACUGGUGUUCCUUCCUAUAUCUACGCAUUUCACCGCUACACAGGAAAUUCCACCACCCUCUACCGUACUCUAGCUCAGUAGUUUUGGAUGCAGUUCCCAGGUUGAGCCCGGGGAUUUCACAUCCAACUUGCUGAACCACCUACGCGCGCUUUACGCCCAGUAAUUCCGAUUAACGCUUGCACCCUUCGUAUUACCGCGGCUGCUGGCACGAAGUUAGCCGGUGCUUAUUCUGUUGGUAACGUCAAAACAGCAAGGUAUUAACUUACUGCCCUUCCUCCCAACUUAAAGUGCUUUACAAUCCGAAGACCUUCUUCACACACGCGGCAUGGCUGGAUCAGGCUUUCGCCCAUUGUCCAAUAUUCCCCACUGCUGCCUCCCGUAGGAGUCUGGACCGUGUCUCAGUUCCAGUGUGACUGAUCAUCCUCUCAGACCAGUUACGGAUCGUCGCCUUGGUAGGCCUUUACCCCACCAACUAGCUAAUCCGACCUAGGCUCAUCUGAUAGCGUGAGGUCCGAAGAUCCCCCACUUUCUCCCUCAGGACGUAUGCGGUAUUAGCGCCCGUUUCCGGACGUUAUCCCCCACUACCAGGCAGAUUCCUAGGCAUUACUCACCCGUCCGCCGCUGAAUCCAGGAGCAAGCUCCCUUCAUCCGCUCGACUUGCAUGUGUUAGGCCUGCCGCCAGCGUUCAAUCUGAGCCAGGAUCAAACUCUA